UAUUGACAUGGCUAAGUUAAGGGCAUGGCUCUGAUACCACGUUAGGAAUCACGACUCUCCACAAUGGUAUGAUAUUGUCCACUUUGAGCAUAGGCUCUCCUG